rnacentral:rRNA from 1 species
CAUCCUACGGGGGCAGCAGUAGGGAAUCUUCCACAAUGGACGAAAGUCUGAUGGAGCAACGCCGCGUGAGUGAAGAAGGGUUUCGGCUCGUAAAGCUCUGUUGGUAGUGAAGAAAGAUAGAGGUAGUAACUGGCCUUUAUUUGACGGUAAUUACUUAGAAAGUCACGGCUAACUACGUGCCAGCAGCCGCGGUAAUACGUAGGUGGCAAGCGUUGUCCGGAUUUAUUGGGCGUAAAGCGAGUGCAGGCGGGGUAAAAAAUCUGAUGUGGAAACCCUC